GUCGUUGUAGUAUGGUGGUGAGUAUUUCCGCCUGUCACGUGGGCAACCCGGGUUCGAUCCCCGGCAAUUGCG
rfam:Gossypium hirsutum cultivar TM-1 chromosome 6, whole genome shotgun sequence